UGAACCGCAUGGUUCAGACAUAAAAGGUGGCUUCGGCUACCACUUACAGAUGGACCCGCGGCGCAUUAGCUAGUUGGUGAGGUAACGGCUCACCAAGGCGACGAUGCGUAGCCGACCUGAGAGGGUGAUCGGCCACACUGGGACUGAGACACGGCCCAGACUCCUACGGGAGGCAGCAGUAGGGAAUCUUCCGCAAUGGACGAAAGUCUGACGGAGCAACGCCGCGUGAGUGAUGAAGGUUUUCGGAUCGUAAAGCUCUGUUGUUAGGGAAGAACAAGUGCCGUUCAAAUAGGGCGGCACCUUGACGGUACCUAACCAGAAAGCCACGGCUAACUACGUGCCAGCAGCCGCGGUAAUACGUAGGUGGCAAGCGUUGUCCGGAAUUAUUGGGCGUAAAGGGCUCGCAGGCGGUUUCUUAAGUCUGAUGUGAAA
rnacentral:rRNA from 2 species